AAUCUCAGUUCAGAUUGCAGGCUGCAACUCGCCUGCAUGAAGUCGGAAUUGCUAGUAAUCGUAGGUCAGCAUACUACGGUGAAUACGUUCCCGGGCCUUGUACACACCGCCCGUCAAACCAUGAGAGUUGGCAACACCCGAAGUCGGUAGUCUAACCGCAAGGAGGACGCCGCCGAAGGUGGGGUUGAUGAUUAGGGUUAAGUCGUAACAAGGUACC
rnacentral:rRNA from 1 species